rnacentral:rRNA from 1 species
GUGGCGGACGGGUGAGUAACGCGUGAGGAACCUGCCUUGAAGAGGGGGACAACAGUUGGAAACGACUGCUAAUACCGCAUGACGCAUAGGGGUCGCAUGAUCUUUAUGCCAAAGAUUUAUCGCUUCAAGAUGGCCUCGCGUCUGAUUAGCUAGUUGGCGGGGUAACGGCCCACCAAGGCGACGAUCAGUAGCCGGACUGAGAGGUUGAACGGCCACAUUGGGACUGAGAUACGGCCCAGACUCCUACGGGAGGCAGCAGUGGGGAAUAUUGGGCAAUGGGCGCAAGCCUGACCCAGCAACGCCGCGUGAAGGAAGAAGGCUUUCGGGUUGUAAACUUCUUUUAAGAGGGAAGAGCAGAAGACGGUACCUCUAGAAUAAGCCACGGCUAACUACGUGCCAGCAGCCGCGGUAAUACGUAGGUGGCAAGCGUUGUCCGGAUUUACUGGGUGUAAAGGGCGUGCAGCCGGGUCUGCAAGUCAGAUGUGAAAUCCAUGGGCUCAACCCAUGAACUGCAUUUGAAACUGUAGAUCUUGAGUGUCGGAGGGGCAAUCGGAAUUCCUAGUGUAGCGGUGAAAUGCGUAGAUAUUAAGGAGGA